rnacentral:tRNA from 1 species
GGGCGUGGCUCAGUGGCAGAGCCUCGCCUCGCAUGUGUGAGGCGCUGGGUUCGAUCCCCAGCACCACA